GGCGCGCCUAAUACAUGCAAGUCGAGCGAGAAGACGUAGCAAUACGUUUGUAAAGCGGCGAACGGGUGAGGAAUACAUGGGUAACCUACCCUCGAGUGGGGAAUAACUAGCCGAAAGGUUAGCUAAUACCGCAUACGACUCCUGGUCUGCGGAUCGGGAGAGAAAGCGAUACCGUGGGUAUCGCGCUCCUGGAUGGGCUCAUGUCCUAUCAGCUUGUUGGUGAGGUAACGGCUCACCAAGGCUUCGACGGGUAGCUGGUCUGAGAGGACGAUCAGCCACACUGGCACUGCGACACGGGCCAGACUCCUACGGGAGGCGGCAGUAAGGAAUAUUGCGCAAUGGGCGACAGCCUGACGCAGCGACGCCGCGUGGGGGAUGAAGGUCUUCGGAUUGUAAACCCCUUUCGGCAGGGAAGAUGGAACGGGUAACCGUUCGGACGGUACCUGCAGAAGCAGCCACGGCUAACUUCGUGCCAGCAGCCGCGGUAAUACGAAGGUGGCAAGCGUUGUUCGGAUUUACUGGGCGUACAGGGAGCGUAGGCGGUUGGGUAAGCCCUUCGUGAAAUCUCCGGGCCUAACCCGGAAAGUGCGGAGGGGACUGCUCGGCUAGAGGAUGGGAGAGGAGCGCGGAAUUCCCGGUGUAGCGGUGAAAUGCGUAGAGAUCGGGAGGAAGGCCGGUGGCG
rnacentral:rRNA from 1 species